AUUAUGCUAAUCAAAUCCCUUUUACUGUCGCAGCAGCAGCAGCAGCAGCACGUGUGCUAUGACGAGGGAAAAGCUUAGAGCUACUGUGCUCACUGUCUUCAAUAAAUCUCGCCUUAUUGUGGGUAACAGAUGUGCCAGACUACACGUUUCCUCAGCAUCAGUCAUCCUGUGAUGAGCGUUAUUCCCCAAAGCACACACGAGUGCUGCUAUAAUAACCGUAUUUCUCAUCUCAAUUUACUGUUUUCAUCUUAUUUCAAUCUGAUAAACACUGAAGCUUCAGACCGCUGAUCACUACACUGAGCUCUUUCAUUUCCACAUGGAUCAGACUCAAGACUCCUGUAAGAUGAAGAUAUUUACUGUGAAAUCUAAAUCUGUGUUUAGCUGCAGGGUUACUUAUUAAACAGCCCUGGGCUGAACUCAUGGCGAGCGAGAUGGAGAAAGUGAAAGCACAUCAGCACUGAGGGAAGAUCAGAUGCUAAAAUAAUGACAUUAACACAUCAGCACAUAUGACAGAGAUGAGGUGAUGAAUCACAGUGGAGCUUCAUUAAAUCCUUAUUUCCCUCAGAGCUGAACAGAUCCUGCAGUGGAGGCGCAUCAGUGCUGUGUUCAUCGUGUGGAGCUGGUCAGUUUUGCUGUAAUAUUAUCUUGAUUGUAAG